UAACGAAUCUUCCGCAAUGUACGAAAGUAUGACGGAGCGACGCCGCGUGUAGGACGAAGCCCUUCGGGGUGUAAACUACUGUCAAGGGUUAGAAAGUUCUGAUCAACCCUAGAGGAAGGCACGGCUAACUCUGUGCCAGCAGCCGCGGUAAGACAGAGGUGCCAAGCGUUAGGCGGAAUCACUGGGCUUAAAGCGUGUGUAGGCGGAUUGGUAAGUACCUUGUGAAAUCCCACAGCUCAACUGUGGAACUGCUUGGUAUACUGCCUGUCUUGAGCUACUUAGGGGCAACCGGAACAAAUGGUGGAGCGGUGAAAUGCGUAGAUAUCAUUUGGAACGCCAAUGGUGAAAACAGGUUGCUGGGAGUAUGCUGACGCUGAGACACGAAAGCCAGGGGAGCGAACGGGAUUAGAUACCCCCGUAGUCC
rnacentral:rRNA from 1 species